rnacentral:rRNA from 1 species
AGGCUGAAAUUCGCCUUCAUGAAGCUGGAAUUGCUAGUAAUGGCAGGUCAGCAUACUGCCGUGAAUACGUUCCCGGGCCUUGUACACACCGCCCGUCACACCAUGAGAGUUGGAAAUACCCGAAGCCUGUGAGCUAACAGUAAUGAGGCAGCAGUCGAAGGUAGAGCCAAUGAUUGGGGUGAAGUCGUAACAAGGUAUC